rnacentral:rRNA from 1 species
UACGUAGGGUGCGAGCGUUAAUCGGAAUUACUGGGCGUAAAGCGUGCGCAGGCGGCUUGCCAAGUCAGAUGUGAAAGCCCCGGGCUCAACCUGGGAAUGGCAUUUGAUACUCUGAGGCUGGAGUACGGGAGAGGAGAGUGGAAUUCCCAGUGUAGAGGUGAAAUUCGUAGAUAUUGGGAAGAACACCGGUGGCGAAGGCGGCUCUCUGGACCGUAACUGACGCUGAGGCGCGAAAGCGUGGGGAGCAAACAGG